CUAUGCCCCAACUUCUGUUCUUACAUGUAGCAGCACCUUGGAGAUAGGUUCGCCGGCCAGUAGUACCAGUUGUUUAAUAGGACCAGCAUCGUGGCCUCUUUUCAAGUUGAGAAAGAUUGAGUUUCAGCAGGAAAAAAUCUUGGAGGGGCAGAAGGAAAUCAUCGCUAAAUACUCUCUGAAAGUAAUCCAUCGCAAAAGAAAGGAAAUAAGAAAGUUAAAAUAUGUGUACCCAGCCAAGUACAUAUUGCUGUGCAUGAUGGAUACUCCCAUGGAAUUUCCCUAGGAUUGUAGUGAAAAAUGAAAUCCGAUGAUGGAAACCAAAUAUUGAAAUGCAAUAAACAGAUAUUUCCUGUCUAUGCAAGGUAAAGGAAGGAGAGAGUCGAUUCUUUCAAGAAAGGAAUGGAUCUGUAUCAAAGGAAACAAGGAAAUUGGAAGUUAUACUAUAGACAGGCUGUCGGGCUGUAUUUAAACAAAAGACCUCCUGUGAUGAGGAGAAAAAGAAACAAGUAGAAACUGUUUUUCUUGUCGAGUACUUGAUGAUGUCAUCAGAAUAUGAAAAUGAUUGGGAAGAUGACACAAUAUAUGAAAUCACAUCUCUAAAGUGGCGCUCUGACGAAUGUUUAAUUGGACACCAAAAGUUCUGCUCUGAAAUCCAAAUGUUCAAAAAGGCAAAGUAUAAGACGUAUAAGGACCAACAAUGAAUCAUCUAGAGACAAACCAGAAAAUAUACCAAAUGAACAGAAAUGGGCCAUUUGAGAUUUUUAAAAAAGUUGCUACUGUCAUGUAUAAUUAGCUCACCUGAGCUGAAAGUUAUUAUAUGGUUUUACUGAUAUGCAAGCAUUUUGACAUAUACAUUGUUGAUUGUAUAAAAUUGUUAACUCCGUCCCAUGGACAAUUUUUGUUCCUUGCAAGAGGUUCAUAUGUUGAUGUAGGUUUAUUAUCCAUGUAGAAAGAGUUGUUUAACACUUCUUGAGAACUGCAAAGCUCAAUAUGUGAUAUGACUGUAAAAUCAUUGCAAAAUAGCUUGAUGUAUUGUUGUAGUAUGAUGAACCUAAAAAUAUGCUGGGUAUUUUUUUAAAUACAGGAUCUGAUAUUACCUGUUCAACUCAUACUGUUAUAUAAAAGAAUAUUCAUUGUGUAUUUUUUUAUUGUUGAAUUUUUUUUUAUGCUGAUCAAUUACAGAUUAAAUUUGGCCAUUAUGAUUUUCAAUUUUUGUCAUAUUGGCAUGUAACCAAGUCAUACUUUUUUUUAUCUCAAUUUAUUUACAAAUAUGUUUAAGUUUAUUUCCAGUAAUUAGUGCAUACAUCUUUAUAGCAUAAUAGAACUGAAGACAAUAGGAGGUUAUUUAUUUUUAAAGGGAGCUCUGUUGGCAGUAAGUUGCAGAUCUUGAUACCCAAGUAAGAGAAAGGUGGCGUCUCUGACCGAUCCUUUUGCUCUUGCUUGUGGGCGAGUGAGGCUUCCCUGUCAAAGGCUUGUAUAAGUUUAAAAUCAUAGAUCAAAUUAUAAACUAAACACAUAUAUGAGUGAUAUAAAUUGGUUAUUUUGAUGAAUAUUUUAUCAUAAUUUGUUUCUUUUGUUCUAAGUAGAGAGUUAAAGACUAGAUUUUUGAUAAUUUAUUGAGUAAAGAGUAGUUUUUAUGGACAUCUAGGCAGUUAUACAGGACUUUUUGUAUGUAUAUCUUUCAAAGCUUGUUCCUGAAACCUGGGCGUAGACUAGAAAGUUUACGGAAAAAAUACAAUUUUUAUCUCAAGUUAUUUUAAUCUACAUAUUUGUACAAGUUUCACUUAUAUAAUUAAUUAGCUCUAUAGUGAACAAAUUUGUUGUUAAAAAUAUACAGGAGACAAUGCAAGAGUAUUUUGAAAGGGCUUUGCUGGCAGUAAGUUGCAGAUCUUGAUACCCAAGUAAGAGAAAGGUGGUGCCUCUGACCGAUCCUUUUGCUCUUGCUUGUGGGCGAGUGAGGCUUCCCUGUCAGUUUCUUACAGAUGCAAGGAAUAAACAAACAAGACUUAAUAAGACAUUUCUGAGUAAAAUAAUGGGGAACUGUUUUCUUUUUAUGAUAAGUAAGAUUGAGUUGAAUAUUUAGUGUCAUAACUAUAUUUUACAUUCUGUACAUACAUAUGCCAGGUCUUAUUUCAGACCUUAAUAGGAUAGACUAGAAGAAUUUUUAUUGAAAGUGAAUUUUAAGCAGGAAACAAUGAAAGAGUAUUUUGAAAGGGCUUAGCUGGCAGUAAGUUGCAGAUCUUGAUACCCAAGUAAGAGAAAGGUGGUGUCUCUGACCGAUCCUUUUGCUCUUGCUUGUGGGCGAGUGAGGCUUCCCUGUCAGUUUCUUACAGAUGCAAGAAAUAAACAAGACUUGAUAAGACAUUUCUGAGUAAAAUAUUGGGGAAACUGUUUUCUUUUUAUGAUAAGUAAGAUUUAGUUGAAUUUUUAUAGUGUCAAAACUUUUUUAAAUUUUGUACAUGCAUAUGCUUGAUCUUAUUCCAGACCUUAUUAGGAUAGACUAGAAGAAUUUUAUUGAAUUUCCAUGAUUUAAAUUUACCAUUUCGCCAAAUUUUGAUAAUCAAUUAUUGUUUGCAUUGGAAGUUUGUGUAAAUUAAAAUUUCUUUAUAUACGUUCCAAAAUGUUAACUGAAUAGUCUGGUCAUUAGAAUAUGUAUUUUUCUUUUCUGUAUACUAAAUUUUCAAUAUUAUAAUGUAAAAACCUAAGGAAUUUUUUUUAAAUCACAUGAAGUGUUUAAAAUUAGAGAUUAGAGAUGCACAUGUACAUCCUAUUAUUGAACAAUUUGUUCAUUCAAUUUAGUAUAAUUUGGUAUUUGUAUGCAUCAUAUAUAUAAAUAUAUAGGGUUUUUUCAACGCUAUUACAUAUAAUAUGAUUGUUAAUAUAUAUCUUCUCUGAAGUGGUUUUCAUGGAAACUCUUAUCUAUUUGCAGUUAUGAACUAUAGAGUAUGAAUGUAGUAUGUAUGUUUCUAUGAAAACAUGCUAUUUUCAAAAUACAUGUUCUAGGAAAGAGAAUUUGUGUGUGCGUGUGUAUGUAUUUUAGUGACCAAUAAAUAAGUAAAAAAAAAUUGAUUACUUCAGUAUUGUCAACUUUCAACAAUUGCUUUUCUUUAUCCACAUGCAUUAUAUAGAAAAACUGACUUUGUCUUGUAAUUUAUGGUGUAUAUGAAAAUACGCAAGUUAAACUAGAAUUUGUUAUUUGCAGACCAUGCAGCAAUUUUUAUGGGUCUGUUUCAGUUGUGUUUUUUUCCCCUACUAGUCCAUAUAGAUUCCAUUAUUUCCAUUUAAUGUGUAUUAGCCUGCAUUUGCUUAAGUCAAAUGUGCAUUUCACAAUUCCAAAUUUGGACAUUUUACCUAAGUAUUUUUUAAGAACUAUAUCAGAAAUUGUAAUGGCAUCCAUUCCAUAUGUAUCUGAUCAUGACGUACGUAUAUAUUGUAAUUUUCUAAAUUGUGACUUUUAUGCUUAAAACUUUGAAAUGUUUUGCUCUGUAAGAAUACAUUUAUUUUUUUUUUUUACAUCAUUGAGACUUUAACAUGCAAUAAAAUCGAAUCUUAAGUGGA